rnacentral:rRNA from 1 species
AGGAAGGUCCCCCACACUGGUACUGAGACACGGACCAGACUCCUACGGGAGGCAGCAGUGAGGAAUAUUGGUCAAUGGGCGCAAGCCUGAACCAGCCAUGUCGCGUGCAGGAAGACUGCCCUAUGGGUUGUAAACUGCUUUUAUAGUAGAAGAAACACAUCUACGUGUAGAUGUCUGCCAGUAUACUAUGAAUAAGCAUCGGCUAACUCCGUGCCAGCAGCCGCGGUAAUACGGAGGAUGCAAGCGUUAUCCGGAUUUAUUGGGUUUAAAGGGUGCGUAGGCGGGACUGUAAGUCAGGGGUGAAAUACUGCAGCUUAACUGUAGCAUUGCCUUUGAAACUGCCGUUCUUGAGUACAGUUGAGGUAGGCGGAAUGUGGUGUGUAGCGGUGAAAUGCAUAGAUAUACCACAGAACGCCGAUUGCGAAGGCAGCUUACUAAGCUGUUACUGACGCUGAGGCACGAAAGCGUGGGGAUCAAACAGGAUUAGAUACCCUGGUAGUCCACGCUGUAAACGAUGAUUACUGGUUGUUAGCGAUAUAUAGCUAGUGACUGAGCGAAAGCAUUAAGUAAUCCACCUGGGGAGUACGUCGGCAACGAUGAAACUCAAAGGAAUUGACGGGGGCCCGCACAAGCGGAGGAACAUGUGGUUUAAUUCGAUGAUACGCGAGGAACCUUACCUGGGUUUAAAUGGGGAGUGGCAGGUGUCGAAAGAUGCUUUUCCUUCGGGACACUCUUCAAGGUGCUGCAUGGUUGUCGUCAGCUCGUGCCGUGAGGUGUCGGGUUAAGUCCCAUAACGAGCGCAACCCUUGCCGAUAGUUGCCAUCACGUAAAGGUGGGCACUCUAUCGGGACUGCCGGUGUAAACCGUGAGGAAGGUGGGGAUGACGUCAAAUCAGCACGGCCCUUACAUCCAGGGCUACACACGUGUUACAAUGGCCAGUACAGAGGGCCGCUACCCCGCGAGGGGAUGCUAAUCUCGAAAGCUGGU